rnacentral:tmRNA from 1 species
GGGGUUGUUUAGUUUCGACAGGUUGUACUUUUCAAAAUAUGCAAGUCGAUCACCGCUGCUGUAUCGUAAAAAGUGUGGCGAAGAUAUAAGUGCAAACUUCAUAUCAAAGGCGAAAGCUACAUUUGCGCAAGCAUUUGCUGGUUUUUCACCUGCUUUAGCUUAGGCUCGAAGCCAUCGAACUGCUGAUUUCUCGUAAGCAGACCUCGGUGUCAAACAUGAGAAUAGUGUUUUGUGGUUUUUUGGACACAAAAUGCGAAAUAAUUCUGAAAACGGCAUUUAGAGGUUUUGUUUAUUCUCUACUCUAAUUAGUCGCACUCGCUUCGGUGAGAAAAAAUAAACUAAACUUGUAGAGGAUUUUGGAUUGUCAAUUUUGGACAUGGGUGCAAUUCCCAUCAACUCCACCA